rnacentral:rRNA from 1 species
AGCAGUAGCCACGGUAAAACGUAGGGUGCGAGCGUUAAUCGGAAUUACUGGGCGUAAAGCGUGCGUAGGUGGUGGUUUAAGUCCGUUGUGAAAGCCCUGGGCUCAACCUGGGAAUUGCAGUGGAUACUGGGUCACUAGAGUGUGGUAGAGGAUAGUGGAAUUUCCGGUGUAGCAGUGAAAUGCGUAGAGAUCGGAAGGAACAUCUGUGGCGAAGGCGACUAUCUGGGCCAACACUGACACUGAGGCACGAAAGCGUGGGGAGUAAACAGGAUUAGAUACCCGAGUAGUCCCUGUCUCUUAUAC